AUACUAAACUACAAACCUUUUCACCCCUAGCCUCUUCCAUCGCACAUAGCCUCCAUCUCUCAAGCCCGAUCUAGCUCAACCCUCACCCUCCAUCAGAGUAGAUCUUCCUUCGCUUCCCUUAUCUCCUCCACCACCAUCUUUGCCGACCUCCACCAAGUCCCUCCAUCCGGCACUCUCGUCACCACUCUCUUCCAAACCACUUGCGUAGUUUCGAUCCCUGCGCAAUCAUCAAACGCCACCCAGGUGAGAUUGAAUUUAUUAAUGUAAUUGUUCCAGCAGUUUUUUCACUAUUUGUGGGAUUGAAAGCUAGAACGUUUGUGAGUUCAAAUUACAAGUUCUUGGUUGAUAGUGCAAACAAACAUGGAAUACUUCUCGAAGUUGUACAAGUCCAUACUGACCUUAACCUUAUCAUAACAAAAGCUUACAUAUCCUCUGAUGGUGGAUGGUUCAUGGAUGACGCAGAUUGUUGUAAAUAAGGAGAGAGGAGUGGUGCGGCAAUUGCGGAGAAGAAACAUAACUUCUCUUCGUAUUUGUGAGAAAUUGUACGAUUGACUAUAUUGGGGUUUGGAUUUAGUGAGAGUGUCAUUACAUGCACCAUUUGUAUUUUCCAUAUUUAUUAGUGAAACUUACGGUCGGUGGAUGUAGGCCAAAAGUCAAAUUUUGUAAAUCCUUGUUCUUCCUUGUGUGUAUAUGUGUAUAUUUUCUUUCAAGUUAAAUCCAUUCUUAUUAUU